CUUUUCUGUAACAUCUUUAUCUUCAAAAACUUGUUCUUCUCCAACAACAAAGCAUCUUCUCCAGCGAUAUCAUGUCCACCACCAAAAACACCGACAACACCAUCGGCAACGUUAUAUUUUUCGUUGUUUCUCCACCACCGUAAACAACAACGCCGUUAUCAUCGACACCACCACCACCACCGCAACCAACAACAACACCACUAAUAUUGACAGUUUUUUCUUCAAAUGCCUUAAUUAAAUUAAGAUUUCUCAGAUUGAUUAAAAAUACAAAUAAUUUAGGCUUUCUCUUCCAUCAAAUUCGCGAGAUAAGUUUUAUCAUGUGUUAGCCACAGAAUGAAACUGGUUUCGUCUUUUAUCAUUGUCGGGUGAGUUUCAUCACGCGUUUCCAAUGGAUGAAUAAGGAUGAAACAUGGUGCUGAACGUUAUUGGUGUAUCAAGUACGCAAAAUAUGCACGAUGUGAAUCAAGAACCAAGAUUCUAACUCUGGAAUAUACUCAUGGAACCAAUGAUGGCUAAUAGUGACGUAGCAAUUUUGAGAAAGAACAUGACCACCAAACGAGUAGACAUCGUAUAUGAAAUACUUGGUGAUGAGUGCAGUUGUUGAAAGUUGAACGAGAACUAAGCGCAUCGUUCAAUAGGUCGCUAUAAAAAGUUGUAUUAUAAGUUCAAUUUUUACUUUGUCAAAAUCGAUCUCUACAUAUAUUUAUGAAUUUAGAUUCGCCUGUGAAUGUAUAUAUCUUAAUGGAAGGUCA